UACAUAGGUGGCGAGCGUUAUCCGGAAUUAUUGGGCGUAAAGGGUGCGCAGGCGGUUAUAAAAGAUUGUGGUUAAAGAAUGGGGCUCAACCCCAUAAUGCCAUGGUAACUGUAUAACUAGAGUGCAGAAGAGGAGAGUGGAAUUCCAUGUGUAGCGGUGAAAUGCGUAGAUAUAUGGAGGAACACCAGUGGCGAAGGCGACUCUCUGGUCUGUAACUGACGCUGAGGCACGAAAGCGUGGGUAGCAAAUAGG
rnacentral:rRNA from 1 species